rnacentral:rRNA from 1 species
AGUAAUACAUCGGAACGUGUCUUCUAGUGGGGGAUAACUGCCCGAAAGGGCAGCUAAUACCGCAUGAGGCCUGAGGGUGAAAGCGGGGGAUCGCAAGACCUCGCGCUGGAAGAGCGGCCGAUGUCCGAUUAGCUAGUUGGUGAGGUAAAGGCUCACCAAGGCGACGAUCGGUAGCUGGUCUGAGAGGACGACCAGCCACACUGGGACUGAGACACGGCCCAG